GACGUGACGAUGGCCCCACCUAUGUCACCAUCAACCACCCCAGCCAAAACAAGGCUGCUCCAAAACCAGAUACUCAGCAGGAGGACAUGGUGACAUAUGCCUCAGUCAAUCUCCUCAUCUAGUAGAAACUAGAGAGCCAUCGAGCAACACUGGUGACCACAGAGAUCUCUCUCAACCGUCAACAAACCUCAGGGAAAGAAAAAAAUUGUCGUCAGAACCACUGCAGUGACACAAUAUCUUGUCAGUUUUCAUGCUAUGUAACAAUUUAUAUAUUUAUUUGUUUUGCAAGUUAUGCAUUGCUUCUACACUGAUAUACUUUAUCUAUUAUACCUAUUAAUUCAAUUUCUAAUACACCUAUAAACUCCUGUAAAGGAAAGUACUGCAGAGUAGUGGUCUUCUGUUGAUGUACAGAUUCAGAGAAGAGGAGUUUGAGCGCCUCUCGUUUCCUCAAUUUGCUUCUGCUAUUCAGUUUUUCCAUCGAUUGAAGCAUUGACCACUAUGACACGAACAAAAAUAUGUUACUACCAUUUGUAUUAUUUCUCGUUAUUAACUUCUCUGCAAGCAUCUUACUGGCUGCCCUCUGGGGCUAACUGAAAAUGCACCUCUGUCCUGUUAUAGACAAAUGUUUACUAAUUUGUAUUCCAAAUAAAUGGUCUUCCAAUUAGUUUUUUAUUCAUGAA